AAUAGUUGCUGAUUGCUAGUUCAAUUUUAAUUGAAUUAGGGGAAAGUCCUUACUUCCAUGGUCUGAGAUGACCAUAAUGAUGACGCGGGUAUAUAAAAAAUAAAACCCGACACCUUUUGGGUGAUGACCAGUGCCACAGAGACGAGCAUAUUAAGUUAUGAGUGAAACGCGGUAAACUCCGUCAGGAAGAAACCUAAAUUAUGGUAAGGGAAUUCGCUUGAAAAAAAUGAAUGGAGAGCGAAAAUACAAGCAAGUGUAUUAGAUUAAUUAUCAGCGUGCUGUUUAAACAGUAACAGAAUAAGGCUUAUUAAU
rnacentral:RNase_P_RNA from 2 species